rnacentral:rRNA from 1 species
GACGAACGCUGGCGGCGUGCUUAACACAUGCAAGUCGAACGGAAAGGCCCUGCUUUUGUGGGGUGCUCGAGUGGCGAACGGGUGAGUAACACGUGAGUAACCUGCCCUUGACUUUGGGAUAACUUCAGGAAACUGGGGCUAAUACCGGAUAGGAGCUCCUGCUGCAUGGUGGGGGUUGGAAAGUUUCGGCGGUUGGGGAUGGACUCGCGGCUUAUCAGCUUGUUGGUGGGGUAGUGGCUUACCAAGGCUUUGACGGGUAGCCGGCCUGAGAGGGUGACCGGCCACAUUGGGACUGAGAUACGGCCCAGACUCCUACGGGAGGCAGCAGUGGGAAAUAUUGCACAAUGGGCGGAAGUCUGAUGCAGCAACGCCGCGUGCGGGAUGACGGCCUUCGGGUUGUAAACCGCUUUCGCCUGUGACGAAGCGUGAGUGACGGUAAUGGGUAAAGAAGCACCGGCUAACUACGUG